AACGAACGCUGGCGGCAUGCCUAACACAUGCAAGUCGAACGAGACCUUCGGGUCUAGUGGCGCGCGGGUGCGUAACGCGUGGGAACCUGCCCUUAGGUUCGGAAUAACUCCCCGAAGGGGGUGCUAAUACCGGAUAAUGUCUUCGGACCAAAGAUUUAUCGCCUUUGGAUGGGCCCGCGUUGGAUUAGCUAGUUGGUAGGGUAAAAGCCUACCAAGGCGACGAUCCAUAGCUGGUCUGAGAGGAUGAUCAGCCACACUGGGACUGAGACACGGCCCAGACUCCUACGGGAGGCAGCAGUGGGGAAUAUUGGACAAUGGGCGAAAGCCUGAUCCAGCAAUGCCGCGUGAGUGAUGAAGGCCUUAGGGUUGUAAAGCUCUUUUACCCGGGAUGAUAAUGACAGUACCGGGAGAAUAAGCUCCGGCUAACUCCGUG
rnacentral:rRNA from 1 species